rnacentral:rRNA from 1 species
GUGGCAGCCGCCGCGGUAAUACCGGCAGCACGAGUGAUGGCCGAUAUUAUUGGGCCUAAAGCGUUCGUAGCCGGCCGGACAAGUCCGUUGGGAAAUCUGCGCGCUUAACGCGCAGGCGGCCAGCGGAAACUGUCCGGCUUGGGGCCGGAAGACUCGAGGGGUACGUCCGGGGUAGGAGUGAAAUCCCAUAAUCCUGGACGGACCGCCGGUGGCGAAAGCACUUCGAGAAAACGGAUCCGACAGUGAGGGACGAAAGCCAGGGUCUCCAACCGGAUUAGAAACCCGAGUAGUCC